rnacentral:rRNA from 1 species
CCCUUAGAUGUUCUGGGCUGCACACGUGCUACACUGGCAGGUUCAGCGAGCUUCAUGCCCUGAUCUGAAAGGAAUGGGAAAUCUUUUCAAAACCUGCCGUGCUUGGGAUAGAUGUUUGCAAUUAUUCAUCUUCAACGAGGAUUGCCUUGUAAGCGCACGUCAUCAGCGUGCAUUGAAUACGACCCUGUAUUCUGUACACACCGCCCGUCGCUCCUACCGAUUGAAUGAUCCGAUGAAUAUCAUGGAUUGAGGAUGCAAGCAGGUUCGCCUGUCUUCAUCUUCGAGAAGUGAAGUAAAUCUUAUCAUUUAGAGGAAGGAGAAGUCGUAACA